AAAUUCAUCAGAUGGUAGUAAUGCCAUGGAAAUGCAGAAUGAUUGCUCCUCAGCAAACACAUCACCAAGUAAUGAUUCUUAACUUCAACUUGGAUGUAUAGUUUGGGUAUGAAUCUGAAUUCGAGUCUUUAUUGUUAUUGUGAUAAUUUUGGAAUCAUAAUGUUGUUCAAUUCAAUUCAAAGCAAAUCCAAAUCCUUUUACAUUGUUUAUGCCACAUUUUGGUCAUCAAUUACUCCAACAAAAUUACAAGGUAAAAACAAUUUCUCAAAAUUAAACUGUCAUUCCGAUUUUCCUCACAGAAUUUCAUCUCUCAUAAAUGGAUUACUUGUGAAUGAUGCUUCUCAUUAUUCUAUCAGCCAUGGAGCUUGAACUUGUGUCCAUUCUGUUAAUUCACCUUCUUUGAACCAUAAAGCUGUCAUGAAAAAUUUACAUUGGUCAUGUUACAACAUAAAUAUACAAGAUUGAUGUAUGCCAUACACAGACCACAAGCAAACAUCAAAGGUUUUAAAACUAUAUUUGUUAAAUAUUCAAGAUGAAGAACAAAAGGAAUAUUAUAAAAAAAUUACUAUUUUGCCCUUUCGAGGCAUUCUUGCCAUCCUCAAUAAUCACGAAUAAAGAAAGAAGAAAAUGCAAGAACAAGACGAUACCUAUCUCCCGCUUCCCAUUUUCAGGGCUAUCACUCCCAUGAACCACAUUCCUGUUUAUAUAAGAAAACAACCAUGAUACAAUUUAGGACACAGAAAAGUAUAUACAGAAAAGCCAAAUUCAUAAAUUUUAUAGAAAAAGGUAAAAAAGUUUAACCUUCCGGUUUGAAUUGCAAGAUCUCCUCUAAUUGUACCCGGUUCAGCUUGAAGUGGAUUUGUUGCUCCAAUUAACUUACGUGCUGAUGCAACCACACCAACUCCCUCCCAAGCCUAAAAAAAAAAUCAAUUCAGUAAGAAAUAAUCUAAUAAAAUUUUAACAAAAAAUCUCGAGAAAUAAUAUUAUUACCAUACAAACAACAGGACCAGAUGUAAUGUAGCUAAUCAGUUUGGGGAAGAAAGGCUUCGAGCUUAAAUCCUUAUAAUGUUCCUAUAAAACCAUUUGCAAUCGAAAAUUGUUAGUAUUACUUACUGAUUAGUGUGUUAAUAACCCUAAAAAUCGGAGAUAAAACAAACCUCACCUCUGCUAGAUCUUUGGGGCAGUCGAAAAGCUUUAAGCCUUUCAAUUUGAAUCCCUUUUUUUCAAACCUAGAAAUUAUCUCUCCCACCUGUAAUAAUAGUAAUUAAAAUCCACAAUUAAGAAGAAUAUGGAGCUAAAUUUAUUGUUGCUAAACUUAAUUUGAACACUUACGAGUCCUCGUUGAACGCCAUCGGGCUUAAUCAUAAUAUAGGAUUCCUCCACUUCCUGUGAGAAUUGAUAACAACGAAAGAGAAGUCAAAUCGAAGCUAAUUAGGGUUUUAGUUUUGAAACGACUGAAGUGAAAUUAGAAAUGGAGAUAAUAACCAUGGAAGCGACCAAAUGAGGAAGAAAUAUGUUAGGGUUUUUCUUCUUGGUUGCAUGAAUACGAGUCGAUAGUGAUUUGGAGAAAAGAUGAGACGGCGACUGAAAUGCGGCUAGAUGACGGUGGCUGGUGGCGGAGACGGCGGUGGUGGGUAAGGAUAAGUUAAUUCUGGUGUCGGAUGAAGAAGAUGAUAAUCGGAUUGACGAUAGCGACGCCAUUAUUACGCUCUCCAUUUUCCUCUACUUGAGCUGAUAAUGAAAUGCUGUUAGCCUGUUAUUACUGUAUGUUUCUUUUUUUGUUUUUUCAUCGGAAGAAUUUACAAAAAUGGUCCCUGGACUAUUUCUUAAAUGUAUGUUUCUUGUUUUGUUAGUCAAUUCUUGUAAACGUAUAUACAAUUUUUUUUAUACCUGGAUUCCAUAUGUUGAUCCCUUUUUUGGAAUGAUUUGUCUGCUUAUAUCAACCUGUCUAUUUUAGGAUGUUCAUAUUUAUGUUUAAAAACUGAUUAUGGAAUAUUUAAUAAUCACAAUUAAAUGAUUAAUUAUGAUAGAAUAAAUUGUGGACGUUCAAAAAAAAGAUAAAACAGAUUGUAGCAUAUACUAUUUGAAUAUGCUUUCAUUGUUUGAAUGUUUGAUAAGAUAUGGUUAUUUUAAAAAAUUAACAAAUAAAAUGAUAAAAUGAUAUUUUUGUCAGAAAAGAGUCAUUUACAAUAAAAAUGAAAAUUUUAUAUUAGCUUUGGAAAAAAGGGCAAUUGUUUAAUCUAUUUUACUCUUUUUAUAAUCAAUCUCGUUAAAUUGAUAUGAAACCAAUAAAUAGAUUUGUAAAUUAAGCAAAUAUAUUAACCCAAACAUUAAAACCUGAUUAUGAAAGCCACAGUUACCAACUAACCAUACACUAAUAUUGACUAUAAAGAAAGUGGCCUCUCUUGCGUUAAAGUCUAGCCCAAGUCAUAAUUUGUUGUAACCUUGUAGCCUAGGUAAGGGAUAUGUUGAAACUGAAAAGAAGAAAUUAAAGACUUUAGAGUAAAAUACACAUAUUAUCCUUGAAUUAUUUAGGGUAAUGACACAAAACACAUUCUUUUUACACAAAAAUUUGAUUUUGACACCGUGUUUUUUUUUUUGUGUCAAUUUUGACACUGUGUUUUUCAAUUUGUUACAAUUCUGACCACUUGACCGGUUAACCAGGUUGCAUGCUGACGUGACAUGAUGAUGUGUCAGUUUUGAUGACGUGGUAUGCUGACAUAAUAUGCUGACGUGUCAAAAUUGAAUUUUUUUUCCACAAAAAACACUAAGUUUUCACUUUUUUUCGAUUUUGACACUAAGUUUAAUUUUUUAUUUCAAUUUUAACACUAUGUUUUUUUUUGUUCCAAUCGAACAUCAUUUAUCAAAUUUUGUUUAAUUUUGUCUAUUUUCCAUUUAAAAUCGUAUAAAUAUAUUUUUUGUUACAUUUUAAACCGUAUAAACAUAUUUUUUUCGUUUAAAAACCAUAUUUUUAUUUAUAUACAAGGUGUUGUUUUUUUUCUUACAUUCAAAGCAUUAGUUAUAUAAUGAGAAUCAAACUAACCAUAAGCUUCUAAUAAGAUGCAAAAAUUUGAUGGGUGACAAACUUGAUAUCCGAGUUUUGAUCGACUGCACACCUCCAAACCUCCAAACACAUUUUAAAGUUGCAUAUUUAAUAUAAAAUACAAUUUUUAUAUAACUAAUACAUAUUUAUACAUAAAAAUAUGGUUUGAGUGUAAAAAAAAAUGUAUUUAUACAAAACUAUGUUUUUUAAAUGAAAAAAAAACAUAUUUAUAUGGUUUAAAUGUAUUAAAAAAAUAUUUAUACGGUUUCAAAUAGAAAAUUAUCAACAUUGAACAAAAUUGAAAAAAUGAUGUUUGAUUUGGAACAAAAAAACAUAGUGCCAAAGUUGAAAAAAAAAUUAAACUUAGUGUCAAAAUUGAAAAAAAUGAAAACUUAUCAUGUCAGCAUACCACGUCAUCAAAACUGACACGUCAUCAUGCCACGUCAGCAUGCAACCUGGUUAACCGGUCAAGUGGUCAGAAUUGUAACAAAUUGGAAAACACAGUGUCAAAAUUGACACAAAAAAAACACAGUGUCAAAAUCGAAUUUUUGUAUAAAAAGAGUGUUUUUUGUCCCAUUUACCCAAUUAUUUAAUAAUUGCAAGGUUGGUAAGUUAAAUUUUGUAUUUAACACUUUUGAUAUGUAACAAUCUGUUUCAUGGCUCAUGAGCUCAAACAAUUAACAACAAUAAAAAUACUAAUAACAACAGACCAUCAAAUCUUGGAAUGCCAUGUCGAUAGUCAUAUCUUCAUUAAAGAUAAAGCAAAUAUUUCACAUAAACAUCCGGUAUGUGUACAUGAACCUCAUUUUGGUGUUGAAAAACAAUUUUUAGUUUGUAAAAAAACAUUCUUUUUAUUUAAAUUUCAAAAUGUUAGUUAAAUGAGUCGAACUUUUUAAACACAACCAAACAUGUUAUAUAGAUGAGUUGACAUCAACUUCACCAUUUUUUUUUAAAUCCAAUUUGUCAAAUAAAAAGUUAAAUUCGAAUUGGCUCAUUUAAAUUUCAAAAUAUAAAUUAAAAAAGAAACUAUUACACUUAGUUAAAUAAGUUAUAAAUCAUUUAAUUUUUGGAUGUGAGGAAAAAAACUGCAACUAUAAGUAUAAAUCAAUUGUUCAAAUAAUGUUGAACGUGAUUACCUUCUAUAUAAAUCAAUGAGAACUAGAAUUUCAACGAGUUCGUGAAGGAAUAAAGAAAACAUACAUGUUCUUUAUAAGUUUAUAAGAAUGGUCACAUGAGUUCGAACACACCUCACGCCUUCUUAGCCCUUUCCUCUAUAUUGUUUAAUGAAUUGAUGUGACAUUUCACAACAAAAACGACACAUGAACUUUUAGACGAGUCAGAUUGAUAGAUAAUGGGGUAAAGGCUAAAAAAUGAAAGAUUUUCGGUAAAUAAUGACAAAUAAAAAACACAAAAAAUAAAAAUUAAAACAAAUUAAGGCCAAUACCUACGAAACUUAUAAAUAAUGCCUUGUUUUCUCAUUAACUUAAUGAAAAACAGAGCAGAGCUUGAGAGCUUCGAAUAGCUACCAUAAUAACUCAUUCACCCACCCGCUCUCCCAUCUUUGAUCUUCCAUCCGGUCGAGAUCGAUGACGUCUGACGGAAGUGUUACCGCUUCGGAGGCCACCGUACCGGAAUCUGACGGUAACAAACUUUGUGUUAGUUAAUUCUUUAUCCGGAGACGACCAUUCUCUCAAGUAAACAUCUACUUGUAAAUUUCAAUGUUUCAGGAGCUGUGAAAUUAUAUGUUAGUUACUACUUUGUUCGAAACUUUACAGAUAAUAUCAAUGUUCGUAAAUUUCUGUCUAUUGUUGUUGUUUGUAGAUUUAAUGCUGCUUAAUAGUUGUAUGUACCUACAGUUGAAACCCUAAUGCCCUAGAUUUGAAUCAUUUGAUUAGGAAUUGCGAAAUUCCAUAUGUGUUUACUGACUUUGGUACAAUUUCGUAUGCAAAAUCCUACUUCAUUAACCUAGGAACCACUUAAUCUUUCGUAUUUUGUUUGCCCAUUACGUAAUCAAAAACUGUCAGUACCACAAGUAAUUCAACAUAAGAAAGUAAGUACCUCUUUCUAUUUCUAUUUCUAUUGAUGGAAGAUAAAACUUAAUCACAAUUGCUUUCCAUUCUAUCCCUAUUAAAAGAAUGCCAAUCAGUACAUUAUAUAUACACCCUACUUUUUCACACCAAAUCACAACAGUUAGUUUAUUUCCUCUGUACGUAUCCAUUGAACACGUUCACACUUCACACUCUUUUUUUUUUUUUUCAUUUGGGACAUACCCAACUUAGAAUCUUUAUUCUCUUAUUGAAGCUUGCACUGUAACCACUCCUUACAUUCUCUCACAAGCUUGCAGCUUUACUGUUUUAUUG
rnacentral:lncRNA from 1 species